rnacentral:rRNA from 1 species
AGAGUUUGAUCCUGGCUCAGGAUGAACACUAGCUACAGGCUUAACACAUGCAAGUCGAGGGGCAGCAUGUUGGUUGCUUGCAACCAAUGAUGGCGACCGGCGCACGGGUGAGUAACGCGUAUCCAACCUACCCUUGUCCAUCGGAUAACCCGUCGAAAGGCGGCCUAACACGAUAUGCGGUUCUCAGCAGGCAUCUAACGAGAACGAAAUGUGAAGGAGAAGGAUGGGGAUGCGUCUGAUUAGCUUGUUGGCGGGGUAACGGCCCACCAAGGCGACGAUCAGUAGGGGUUCUGAGAGGAAGGUCCCCACAUGACUGAGACACGGUCCAACUACCUACGGGAGGCGA